ensembl:lncRNA
CCCCCCCCCUCGUUUCUUUUCUCCUCCUCCCCCCCCCCCAACCCCGGGCGCAGGGUUUGAAGGUCACCUCCUUUCUGUCCCUGUCUAAGCCUACGCCGCCACCUCCGGCUCGGGCCGGUGGAGUCUCCGCCGCCGCCGCUGCUCUGAAGCGGUCCUAGCAGCAGCAGCAGUACCAGUAGCAGCAGCUGCGGAGCCGGGUCUGGCUCGGGGAGGGGAAGCCCGAGCCCCAAGAGGGGAACAGGAGGGGCGGGGGGAAUCCCUCAACCUCCCAACCCCUGGGGCUGAGCAUAUAGUCUGAAUUGGGGCGGCUCUCUGCCCGUCCCCUAAACAGUGUCCGAGGCAGUGGCAGCAGGCGGAAGGACUGACCUGUGCAACCUAGGAACGAGAAAAGGAGGGAUAUACAGCACUGUGCCCCACAUCUGGAAGAGGCAGAGCUUCCCCCCACAUCUGGUGGAAGAAACCUUCUUCUCCUGAACUGGGCAAGACAGAGUAGGAGAAAACGAGACGAAGAAAGAGAUUGUGCGCCCCGGGACACAGAGACGUUUGGGCGCUCUGGGAUCUUCCACUGAGACCAGGACCACGACCCCAAGCCUAGGGGCUGUGCGCUCCGCAGCAAUCUAGCCAGAACUGGGCGACAAGUCAGCUAGCUGAGCUUAGCCCAAUCGAUCUUCUGGGGAGUGGGCAGGGAAGGGAGUGGGAGCGGGGCCCCGGUUGCCUGACCAGGACCGGGGCCAGGACCCUCAAGGGCUGACCCGCCCUCAAAGUUGCUGCUCGAGUGAGAGGAAAAGCACGUGCCCCCCUGCGCUGGCUACAGCUGAUGGUAAGUCCCGCCCAAGGAAUGAAGUAGAGGGUACUGACCCUGGGGAGGUGGUCUUGGGGGGGGGGGUCCAAAGCUGUGUCCAGAGGGGGGGUCAAGAAAAGCAGCAAGAGCCAACGCCCCAGGUGAGUCCAGGCUGUGCCAUUGCCCCGCCCUGCGCUCCCCGACUACCUGGGGCCCACUUGGUUAAGGAAGGGAGUUGGACAGGAGAGCACAGGCGAAACUGGUACCCUGGGGAGGGAAAACUGGUGUUUCCAAGCCCCAGGUCCUUGGAAGCUUCUCUCCCUGGGAGCCCGCUGAAUACGACGGGCGUGGACGGGCACGCGCGCGCUCACCAGGGUUUGAAGGAGCUGCCGCCGCCCGUUUGGACUCUGAACUUUUUCCUGGUCUUUGGUGAGAGCUCCUGGGCGGUCCCGCCAGCUCCCGAGGGGGCUCUCAGUCACCUCCGACUUAGAAAGGAGGCGCGCCCUUGGCAGAGCUUAGGGAACUCGAGGAGACCUCAGCUGACUAAAAUAAGGGGAAGAAGACUAGCUGACUCCAGAGUAGCUUUCUAAAAUGGAGUGACUUCCAUUUCACCAUCAUUCCACUUUUCAUCAUAUUUUUGGCUAGCAGGGAGAGAUGCCUCAGUUCCUCUUAGCUGAGGUAUGAUCAAGAAACUGGCACCAAAGAGACCAUAAUCAUUGCUAUAACCUGUGGGUGAAGGUCAUUUACUGCGAAAGAAAUUGCUUUUGUCUUUUCUUUAAAAUUGUUAUUUUAUGUUAAUAAUAAUAAACAUACAUAAUCAAAUGCA